rnacentral:misc_RNA from 1 species
GAUGAAGAACGCAUCGAAAUGCGAUAAGUAGUGUGAAUUGCAGAAUUCAGUGAAUCAUCGAAUCUUUGAACGCACAUUGCGCCCCUUGGUAUUCCAUGGGGCAUGCCUGUUCGAGCGUCAUUUGUACCUUCAAGCUCUGCUUGGUGUUGGGUGUUUGUCUCGCCUCUGCGUGUAGACUCGCCUUAAAACAAUUGGCAGCCGGCGUAUUGAUUUCGGAGCGCAGUACAUCUCGCGCUUUGCACUCAUAACGACGACGUCCAAAAGUACAUUUUUACACUCUUGACCUCGGAUCAGGUAGGGAUACCCGCUGAACUUAAGCAUAUCAAUAAGCGGAGGA